ACAAUAAGCGGAGGAAAAGAAACCAACAGGGAUUGCCCUAGUAACGGCGAGUGAAGCGGCAACAGCUCAAAUUUGAAAUCUGGCUUCGGCCCGAGUUGUAAUUUGCAGAGGAUGUUUAUGGUGCGGUACUUUCCGAGUUCCCUGGAACGGGACGCCACAGAGGGUGAGAGCCCCGUCUGGAUGGAUACCAAACCUGUGUUAAACUCCUUCAACGAGUCGAGUAGUUUGGGAAUGCUGCUCUAAAUGGGAGGUAAAUCUCUUCUAAAGCUAAAUAUAGGCCAGAGACCGAUAGCGCACAAGUAGAGUGAUCGAAAGAUGAAAAGCACCUUGAAAAGGGGGUUAAACAGUACGUGAAAUUGUUGAAAGGGAAGCGUUUAUGACCAGACUUGUGUCGUGUGGCUCAUCCGAGGUUCUCCCCGGUGCACUCCACGCGGCUCAGGCCAACAUCGGUUUUUGUCGGAGGAAAAGAAUAGUAGGAACGUAGCUCUUCCUCGGAAGAGUGUUAUAGCCUAUUAUACGAUACUUUGAUAGAGACCGAGGACCGCGCUUCGGCUAGGAUGUUGGCGUAAUGGUCAUUAGCGACCCGUCUUGAAACACGGACCAAGGAGUCGUCCAUUAGAGCGAGCGUUUGGGUGUAAAACCCGCACGCGUAAUGAAAGUGAAAUUAGGUGAGAGCUUCGGCGCAUCAUCGACCGAUCCUGAAGUUUACGGAUGGAUUUGAGUAAGAGUUUUAACGGACGGACCCGAAAGACAGUGAACUAUGCUUGAAUAGGGUGAAGCCAGAGGAAACUCUGGUGGAGGCUCGCAGCGGUUCUGACGUGCAAAUCGAUCGUCAAAUUUGAGCAUGGGGGCGAAAGACUAAUCGAACGCCU
rnacentral:rRNA from 1 species